ACGCUCGACACCUACAGGAGGCAGCAGUGGGGAAUAUUGCACAAUGGGGGAAACCCUGAUGCAGCGACGCCGCGUGAAGGAAGAAGUAUCUCGGUAUGUAAACUUCUAUCAGCAGGGAAGAAAAUGACGGUACCUGACUAAGAAGCCCCGGCUAACUACGUGCCAGCAGCCGUGGUAAUCUGAGCGGGCUGGCAAGGC
rnacentral:rRNA from 1 species